rnacentral:rRNA from 1 species
UACAGAGACCCCAAGCGUUGUCCGGAAUCACUGGGCGUAAAGGGUGCGUAGGCGGCAUAGUUAGUCGUGUGUUAAAUCUCGGGGCUCAACCCCGAAUCCGCGCACGAAACGGCUAAGCUCGAGGAUGAGAGAGGUGAAUGGAACUCAUAGUGUAGGGGUGAAAUCCGUUGAUAUUAUGGGGAACACCAAAGGCGAAGGCAAUUCACUGGCUCAUUCCUGACGCUGAUGCACGAAACCUAGGGUAGCGAAA